AGUCGCAGAGUACGGGUGUACAAGUUAGUGUUUUAGGGCGUGUUGUUACUGUGAGGUGGUACCCCGUUACCCUUUUUGGGUCGCUAGGGCUAAGAGCCCCCCUAGGUUACUCAUUUUGUACAGCGUCGAAACUGGAAUAGAUAGGAAGAAAAAAAAAAUUGACAGCCUGCGUAUAUAGGUUGUUGGAUGCAUAAGUUUGCGAGCCUUCACAGUGUUUAAGAGAGAAGUGGAUAAGGACGUGCGAAGGAUAGCUGAUGAAGCAGGGUGUGAGUGAUACGUAAGGUUGCGAGCAGCCGCGUCGAACAGGGUGGUUGAUCAUGGCGGCAACGAGGAGGCGUGGUCGACGACCGGGCGGCGGGAAGGGUAAGGGGUGGAAGGACUUGAAGGUGACGGGUUUCGUGAAAUGAGGCGAUUUGAAUGUGGAGGAGACGACGGUGUGAUGGGAUCAGUGUUGGAGUGAGCUGUGGCAGCCGAGCAGACGGUGGUGGGAGAUGUCCCGGUUGAGGUAGAUGUGCUACUGGAGUUUGAUAUGAUAGAACAUAAUUGUAAGGCAAGUAAUAUGGUGGAGAAUGUGAGGACCCCUGGGCUGUGUGGAGGAGCACAGCGAGACGCCGGCAGUUCAGUGUUCGUAAAGAGUUGGUAGUGUGUGAAGUGUUUGGUCGAUGUUUGGGCCGUUUCCUACAGAGUAAAGAUGGCGAGAUCAUGGUAAUCAUCGUGGUUGAUGGAAUGUGAGGCAGCGGACUUUGACGUACAAGUUAACCGGGUGGAGGAUGUGCAAGACAGAAUAUUGGUGAAUAGAAGGAUGAGGCGACGCAUAACGUGAAUAGAAAGGGGUUGAUAAAUUGAAAGAUACGAAGAAGGGACAAUAGAGAAUGUUGUAUCGUGAUAGGAAAUGUUACACUAUUGAAGAUUGAUUGAAAUAUGAAAUGAUAGUUGAAAGUGGUACCUUGAAGGGGAAAUUGUUAAGCAGAGAUCGUAAUUUUGUGUUAAUAUUGUAGAAUAUUUAUUGUAAUGAAUAACUAAGUUACGUAUUAUAAGUUGAAAUAGUGUUUGGAUGAUAGAGGGGGCCAAAUGAUUUGGUUGUGAAUGAAUGUUUGCGUGAAGUUGUGGAAAAUGUGUGAACCGAAUGUUAUGGAAGGUUUUUAGUACAUGUGUGAGUUAAUAAGUCGUGUAAUAAAUGACCUAAAUAUAAACAUUAUCCAAUGAAUGAUGUUGUUGUUUGCUGUUUUAGUUUACCAAUAAUUAUAAUUGAAGUAAGAAAUUGGAUGUAAUGAGGUAAUUAUGAAAGGUGUAGUGAGAGGAGCAAGUUUGAGUAAGAUUGUGAAUUCGUAUGUGGUUUGAGGCAUUAUUUGUAAGUGUUUGUGAAAAUAGAGAUUUAUGUUUGGGGUGUUGAUUGUUGUUGUGAGGGUUGAUGGUGGGGUGUAUGUUUUGAAUGAGGUUGUUUGUAUUGUAAUUGUGUGUGAGGAGUUGUUUGGUGUGAGUUUGUUGACGUUGUAUUGUGAAAAUGUAGUUUUAGGAGUGUCUAAGCUGCAUAGUGUUGUUGCAUAUCGUUAGAUUUUGGCUGUGAGGCUUAGGUGUCGUUAAUUUUAGGGAUUUCCGGAUUGGUGUUUGGAUAUGACGUGUGGUAGUGAUUGUAGGGGUGUAUUGCUUGAAAAGUGAAAUACGUGUGUCUGUCUGGUCGUGGGCCGUUGAAUGAUGAAGAAUAAGGCAGGGGAAACGUUUGAGUUUGAUGAAAAGCAUUGAAGUUAUUAUGGGUUUUGAUGCAUUAGCGUUAUGAAUAGGUUAGAGUGCAUCCUGCGUGCUGGGAGAUGUCCCGUGAGUUAUUAUUGUAAUUGAGAGACUGGUCGUCGUUGUUGUAUGGUGUAGUGUUGUUUUUUUUGGCGUGAGAUUGAGGGUAGUGGGGCAUUGUCAAUGUAUAAUUGAUAGUUAAUUGCUAAAUGUGUGGUCGUGGAAGCGUUGUUGGUAGUUUAGUAAGACUAGGGAUAAUGGCUGGACGUGGAGGAGCGUGUGGUACGUUGGGUUCCCAAUGAGAAUGGUGUGUUUUGAUGGUAUGUUAGGUUGAUGAGGUAGUGUUUUUUGUUGAUCGUGAGGGUUGAUGGUGUUGUUAUGUAGGGGCGUGUGAUUGUUGUAGAUAGCGUUGCCGGUUGUGUGGAGGAAUAGUAAAAAUGGUGUAUGGGUAUGAAAUGUUUGUGAAUAAAAUAAGAUAGCAAGGAUGGAUGGAUUGGUUGGUUGCAUAUGGAGUAGUGUGGAGAGGCUGCACUUGUGAAGAUGGUGUUGAAAGUGUUUGGUCGUGUUUGAAGUUAAAUGAAUGAAUUAUGUGAUGGUUGUUGUUUGUUUAGGGGGAAUGAGUGUAAUGUUUGUGUGUCAGCGUUUGUAUGUUGAAUGAUGUUUAGUGUAUGUUGAAUUAGUUUUUGUUAUU